rnacentral:lncRNA from 1 species
UUUUAUGGUGAAUUAAUCAAGGUUCUUAGUUUGAUUAUAUUGGGGGUGUGCUUUGACAUCAUAUUCAUGUCCUUUUUGCAUUCACAUUUAGAAGUCCUUAUGCGGGCUUGAUUGAGAAAUUGUGUACUUUUGAUGCCCUAUUAAUUAACAGAAUAAGUUGAUGCAUGAUAGGCACUGUAUGCAAUUGUUGUUGCUUUCUUUUAUUGGGCUUGUUCUUAUUUAAUGAGAAGCAGCUGCUAUGUCAUGCUCAUUGCUGCUAGCGAGCGAUACGAAGAGAUAGCAUAAAGCCCCCAAUGAGGCUUUUUUAAAUAUAAUCUGUCCUCCAAAAUUUUAAUGUUCCGCCCGCCACUGCCUGGUAGUUCUAUCUUGGUGGAUGAAGUGCUUGCAAUUUGAGAAGGCUUGAUGCUGGCUCACGGGUGAGGAAUGCCCUUGUCAAGGUUUAUUUGUGGAGUCAGAUAUGGAUCGAGCGGUGCACCUCAUCAACGAUCAAACUUCUAUAGUUGAGGCAGGUCAUAUACAUGCUAUAGUUUCUUGAGUCGGGUUCAUGUGAUGGGGUUUCGUCACGUGCAUAUGGCUUCUAAUUUUGUAAAUCAUGCUUUAACAAGAUUUUGUACUUCCUUUGAUGUUGAUAGACUGUUGGGUUUUUUUAUCAAUUAAAGAAAUUGUUCAUAUUAAAAGGCCAAAAGGCCUAGAGAGAGUACAAGAGGAGCUUGGAGUACAACAGAUGAGCCUAACCCAAACUAGAAACCAAGGACUAAAGGUCCAGACGUCAUUACAAAUAUAAGAGUUUAAAUUACAGGGCUCAAGGCCCAUUAAACCUUUAAAAGUGAGUUGAAGGUCCACAAAUAAAUUGGCUCCAAGGCCUACAAUAGAUAAAAAAAAUACUGAAAAGUUCUUAUAAAACCUUCACAUGACCACACAAAUCCAUCUUCUUCAUCCUAGGCACUACCAAGAAGGUCAAUAAGAAUCCAAGCACUCAACUCCCCAUAAGCCAAUAGACACCCUCAAACUAUCAAAUCAUUAGCCACGAGAUCAAAAGAUCAAGAUUUCUCUAGUAAACACACAUCCACCAUAAAUUGUCGGCAGCACUAACAAAACUAUAUGAGAUUGAAGAAUAGACUGCUUCAAAGCUACCGACGGUAAUUUUGGAGUAGAUCAGUAGGAAGACAAGACCAAAGAGGAGAUUCCUCCUUCCACCGAUCAUUACCUAUAAAACCAGCAACUCUUCCUCUCCAUCGCUUACAUCUGUCAUAAGACAAACACCCAUAGGACACCGGGAGGUUAAGGAGGCGGAUGUCACCGCACUUACUGGCUAGGUGAGGGCCAAGAUCAAAAAAAUUGCACCAAAAGAACAAAAGCAAACCAGCAACUAAUUCGAAACAAGACAACAACAUCACUUAUAAACACUUUAAUUAAAUUAGACAUAAAGAAAGAAAAACUAAAAGCGAGAUGAAACAAAACUGUAGGGUUGCCUGCAGGUGGUAAAAGUCACCGGAAGCCGCCCCAAACGCAAAUCUAAACACUAGAUACUGCGUAGGAAAGUUAGAGAGAAAGUUAGGAAAAAAAAC